AUACGGAGGGUCCAAGCGUUAUCCGGAUUCAUUGGGUUUAAAGGGUCCGCAGGCGGGAAAAUAAGUCAGUGGUGAAAGCCUACAGCUCAACUGUAGAACUGCCAUUGAAACUGUUUUUCUUGAGUAUAUAUGAAGUGGGCGGAAUAUAUCAUGUAGCGGUGAAAUGCAUAGAUAUGAUAUAGAACACCGAUUGCGAAGGCAGCUCACUAAACUAUUACUGACGCUCAGGGACGAAAGCGUGGGGAGCGAACAGGAUUAGAAACCCUAGUAGUCC
rnacentral:rRNA from 1 species